rnacentral:SRP_RNA from 1 species
GCCGGGUGUGGUGGCGCAUGCCUGUAGUACCAGCUACUUGGGGGGCUGAGGUGGGAGGAUCGCUUGAGCCCAGGAGGUCAAGGCUGCAGUGAGCCAAGAUUGUGCCACUGCACUCCAGCCUGGGCAACAGAGUGAGACCAUGUCUCAA